CAUUAGAAAAGGCUUCAAGUGGAACUUCAAAUUUUUAUCCAAUUCAAUUAUUAAUGGACUCAUCUAGAUUACACAUAGAAACUGCUGAAGAAGCCUUUGAAAGAGCUCCAUCUCCAUAUAAGAAGAUCUAUGAAAAAUAUUUUGAGAAAAAUGAUGAACUACAAAGAUCAGAAGCCUAUACUUCUAGAGGAUCAGAAGCCUCUACUUCCAGAGCAUCUUUCAGAAAUCAAAAUAUAAAAGAAGAAGC
rnacentral:lncRNA from 1 species